AGGAAAAGAAACCAACAGGGAUUGCCCUAGUAACGGCGAGUGAAGCGGCAACAGCUCAAAUUUGAAAGCUAGCCUUCGGGUUCGCAUUGUAAUUUGUAGAGGAUGAUUUGGGGAAGCCGCCUGUCUAAGUUCCUUGGAACAGGACGUCAUAGAGGGUGAGAAUCCCGUAUGUGACAGGAAAUGGCACCCUAUGUAAAUCUCCUUCGACGAGUCGAGUUGUUUGGGAAUGCAGCUCUAAAUGGGAGGUAAAUUUCUUCUAAAGCUAAAUAUUGGCGAGAGACCGAUAGCGCACAAGUAGAGUGAUCGAAAGAUGAAAAGCACUUUGGAAAGAGAGUUAAAAAGCACGUGAAAUUGUUGAAAGGGAAGCGCUUGCAAUCAGACUUGUUUAAACUGUUCGGCCGGUCUUCUGACCGGUUUACUCAGUUUGGACAGGCCAGCAUCAGUUUCGGCGGCCGGAUAAAGGCUCUGGGAAUGUGGCCUCCACUUCGGUGGAGGUGUUAUAGCCCAGGGUGUAAUACGGCCCAGCCGGGACUGAGGUCCGCGCUUCGGCUAGGAUGCUGGCGUAAUGGUUGUAAGCGACCCGUCUA
rnacentral:rRNA from 1 species